rnacentral:rRNA from 1 species
GACGAACGCUGGCGGCGUGCCUAAUACAUGCAAGUAGAACGCUGAAGACUUUAGCUUGCUAAAGUUGGAAGAGUUGCGAACGGGUGAGUAACGCGUAGGUAACCUGCCUACUAGCGGGGGAUAACUAUUGGAAACGAUAGCUAAUACCGCAUAACAGCAUUUAACCCAUGUUAGAUGCUUGAAAGGGGCAAUUGCUUCACUAGUAGAUGGACCUGCGUUGUAUUAGCUAGUUGGUGAGGUAACGGCUCACCAAGGCGACGAUACAUAGCCGACCUGAGAGGGUGAUCGGACACACUGGGACUGAGACACGGCCCAGACUCCUACGGGAGGCAGCAGUAGGGAAUCUUCGGCAAUGGGGGCAACCCUGACCGAGCAACGCCGCGUGAGUGAAGAAGGUUUUCGGAUCGU